rnacentral:rRNA from 1 species
CAGUAGCCGCGGUAAUACGUAGGUGGCAAGCGUUGUCCGGAAUUAUUGGGCGUAAAGGGCUCGCAGGCGGUUUCUUAAGUCUGAUGUGAAAGCCCCCGGCUCAACCGGGGAGGGUCAUUGGAAACUGGGAAACUUGAGUGCAGAAGAGGAGAGUGGAACUCCACGUGUAGCGGUGAAAUGCGUAGAGAUGUGGAGGAACACCAGUGGCGAAGGCGACUCUCUGGUCUGUAACUGACGCUGAGGAGCGAAAGCGUGGGGAGCGAACAGGAUUAGAUACCCGCGUAGUCCCUGUCUCUUAUAC